rnacentral:rRNA from 1 species
UCAAGUUAUUAAGGGUGCAGGGCGGAUGCCUUGGCACUAGGAGCCGAUGAAGGACGUGAUAAGCUGCGAUAAGCUUCGGGGAGUUGCACGUAAACUUUGAUCCGAAGAUUUCCGAAUGAGGAAACUCACUUAGAGUAAUGUCUAAGUAUCAUUAAGUGAAUACAUAGCUUAAUGAGGGGAACUCAGGGAACUGAAACAUCUAAGUACCUGAAGGAAGAGAAAGAAAUUCGAUUCCGUAAGUAGCGGCGAGCGAACGCGGAUUAGCCCAAACCAAUAAAGUUUUCUUUAUUGGGGUUGCGGACAUAUCAUAACGAAGAGGUAUCGUAAUUGAAGAGGUUUGGAAAGACCCACCACAGAAGGUAAUAGUCCUGUAUGUUAAACGAGAAGACUUCAGAUAUGAUCCAGAGUACCACGGGACACGUGAAACCCUGUGGGAAGCAGGAGGGACCACCCUCCAAGGCUAAAUACUACCUAGUGACCGAUAGCGUAUAGUACCGUGAGGGAAAGGUGAAAAGAACCCCGGGAGGGGAGUGAAAUAGAACCUGAAACCCUGCACUUACAAGCUGUGGAAGCACAUUUCUUGUGUGACCGCGUACUUUUUGUAGAACGGGCCAACGAGUUACGUUAAGUAGCAAGGUUAAGCACUUAAGGUGUGGAGCCGUAGCGAAAGCGAGUUUUAACUGAGCGUUCAGUUACUUGACGUAGACCCGAAACCGGGCGACCUACCCAUGAGCAGGAUGAAGCGAAAGUAAAAUUUCGUGGAGGUCCGAACCCACGAGCGUUGAAAAGCUCGGGGAUGACUUGUGGGUAGCGGUGAAAUUCCAAUCGAGCCCGGAGAUAGCUGGUUCUCCCCGAAAUAGCUUUAGGGCUAGCCUCAAGGUGAGAGAUACGGAGGUAGAGCACUGAAUGUCCUAGGGGGUAUUGCACCUACCGAAGACUAUCAAACUCCGAAUGCCGUCAUCUUAUACUUGGGAGUCAGACUGUGGGUGAUAAGAUUCAUAGUCGAAAGGGCAACAGCCCAGAUCGUCAGCUAAGGUCCCUAAAUGUAAGUUAAGUGGUAAAGGAUGUGGGAUUGCACAGACAACCAGGAUGUUGGCUUAGAAGCAGCCACUCAUUCAAAGAGUGCGUAAUAGCUCACUGGUCGAGUGAUCCUGCGCCGAAGAUUUCCGGGGCUAAAACUUACUACCGAAGCUACGGCAUCAGUAAUGAUGGGUAGGGGAGCUUCCCAUACGGGUUGAAGCAUGACCGUAAGGACAUGUGGACAGUAUGGGAGUGAGAAUGUUGGCAUGAGUAGCGAGAUGUGGGUGAGAAUCCCACAGGCCGUAAACCCAAGGUUUCCAGGGGAAGGUUCGUCCGCCCUGGGUUAGUCGGGACCUAAGCUGAGGCCGAAAGGCGUAGGUGAUGGACAACAGGUUGAUAUUCCUGUACUACCGAUAACCGUUUGAGAGAAGGGAUGACACAGUAGGAUAAGCUAAGCACACUGUUGGUUAUGUGUGCCCAAGCAUUGAGGCAGUCAAAGUAGGCAAAUCCGCUUUGAUAAUGCUGGGAUGUGAUGGGGAGCGAAAUUUAGUAGCGAAGUAGCUGAUUUCACACUGUCAAGAAAAGUCUCUAUCGAGGUUAAAGGUACCCGUACCGCAAACCGACACAGGUGGGUGAGGAGAGUAUCCUAAGGCCAGCGAGAGAACUGUUGUUAAGGAACUCGGCAAAAUGACCCCGUAACUUAGGGAUAAGGGGUGCCACCAUCAGGUGGCCGCAGAGAAUAGGCCCAAGCGACUGUUUACCAAAAACAUAGGUUUCUGCUAAGUCGCAAGACGAUGUAUAGGAGCUGACGCCUGCCCGGUGCUGGAAGGUUAAGGGGAUCUGUUAGAGCAAUCGAAGCAGUGAACUUAAGCCCCAGUAAACGGCGGCCGUAACUAUAACGGUCCUAAGGUAGCGAAAUUCCUUGUCGGGUAAGUUCCGACCCGCACGAAAGGCGUAACGAUUUGGGCACUGUCUCAACAACAGACUCGGUGAAAUUGUAAUUCCGGUGAAGAUGCCGGAUACCUGCGACAGGACGGAAAGACCCCAUGGAGCUUUACUGUAGCUUGACAUUGGGUUUUGGUACUACAUGUACAGGAUAGGUGGGAGGCUUUUGAAACCAGGACGCCAGUUUUGGCGGAGCCAUCCUUGGGAUACCACCCUUGUAGUACUGGGACUCUAACCAUAGGCCAUGAAUCUGGUCUUGGGACACUGUCAGGUGGGCAGUUUGACUGGGGCGGUCGCCUCCCAAAAGGUAACGGAGGCGCUCAAAGGUUCUCUCAGUACGGUCGGAAAUCGUACGUAGAGUGUAAAGGCAAAAGAGAGCUUGAUUGCAAGACAUACAGGUCGAGCAAGGAUGAAAAUCGGACUUAGUGAUCCGGUGGUUCUGCGUGGAAGGGCCAUCGCUCAACGGAUAAAAGCUACCCUGGGGAUAACAGGCUUAUCUCCCCCAAGAGUCCACAUCGACGGGGAGGUUUGGCACCUCGAUGUCGGCUCAUCACAUCCUGGGGCUGUAGUAGGUCCCAAGGGUUGGGCUGUUCGCCCAUUAAAGUGGUACGCGAGCUGGGUUCAGAACGUCGUGAGACAGUUCGGUCCCUAUCCGUCGCAGGCGUAGGAAAUUUGAGAAGACCUGUCCUUAGUACGAGAGGACCGGGAUGGACGUACCUCUGGUGUACCAGUUGUUCUGCCAAGGGCAUGGCUGGGUAGCUAUGUACGGAAUGGAUAAGCGCUGAAAGCAUCUAAGCGCGAAGCCAACUUCAAGAUAAGAUUUCCCACCGUAAGGGUAAGACCCCAGAAAGACUAUCUGGUUGAUAGGUCGAAGGUGUAAGUGCAGCAAUGUAUUUAGCUUAUCGAUACUAAUAGGUCGAGGACUUGACCAA